AGCCAGAGCACUCUAAUUUGUGGUGGCUCCCAUCCUGAUCCUAAUUAUCUUUUUUUUUUCUUUGUAGAAAGUGGUCCCUCCACUUUUACCAAGCAUCCACGCAGGCUGGACCUAUACUGCUGGAAUCUCCACUUCUACUGAGCAUCCAUGAGGGCUGAACCUGUACUGCUGGAAUCUCCACUUCUACUAAGCAUCCAUGAGGACUGGUCUUAUACUCUUGGGAUUCAUGCUUUUUCAUGGCUGGUGACUUUGUAUGAGAGGUGCUGUGUGUGCUGGGAGCCCAGGACCCCAGCCUGAGAAUGGCCACAUGCAUAGUGGGCAGAUCUUCCCACUUCAGUUAUACAAGCAAGAUAAUCCCCACAGAUGCACUCCAAAGUGCAUGUCCCAAACAGCACCAACCACCGUAGCAUCUUUACUUCUCAUCCUGACAUCUUGUUCAUGGACUUAUUUCUCUGUGCAAGUGUCUACCUGGAAAGAUGGCUUCACGAUUAGAACACUUUUGAGGCUCUUGCAGAUAACCCAAGCUUAGUUCCCAGCCUCGAGGGACUCCAGCUGAAGCUGAAGGAACUGAUGCUCCAUGGUCUCUAUCUUCUUGAGAAAGUCGAGUGAAGGUCUGGGUUAUGUACUGCGUUGAAUACAGGGAGUGCCUGUUACAACAGGAGAGGCCAUUUAGGCCCUGACUGGGUGGCUUCAGUGUGUGUACAUCAACCCACACAACUGUACCAUUCUCAAACACUACCAGUUCAAGUGUCACACUAGUGUUCUUAUAGCACUUCUGUGUCCUGGGACCCGACACAAAGCAAGUUAAAGGAGUGGCUGAAACCCGUGAUUCAUCUCUAAUUACAUAUCCUAUGCAGUGUUCUUGUGAGGGAAAACAUCCAUCAGCCUCCAGAACUGAGAUCCCUUUUCUUUUGGGGGCCUAGGACUGACACCCCCCACACACACCCGUCCUGUCCCAUGCUUGUGAAACAUUCAGAUGGCUUUGAAUGAGUGGGGAAUAAGCCCAAUUCUGACUCUGUUCAUUUCUUUUCAUUCCUUUCUUCCUUGUUCCCUGUUUUAGCCUCUUCCUUCCCCCCCCCCUCCUCCCCCCCCCGCCACCUCCACCUUUUUAAACCAAGGUCUCAUGUAGCCCAAGCUGGUUUUGAUCUGGCUAUGCAGCUAAG
rnacentral:lncRNA from 1 species